AGAAUCAACGCUGGCGGUGUGCCUAACACAUGCAAGUCGAACGCGAAAGGGGCUUCGGCCCUGAGUAGAGUGGCGAACGGGUGAGUAACACGUGGGUGAUCUACCUUCAAGUGGGGGAUAACGUCCCGAAAGGGACGCUAAUACCGCAUGAUGUUCUGGGUUUGAAGACCUGGAAACCAAAGGCUGGGGACCGCAAGGCCUGGACGCUAGAAGAGGAGCCCGCGCCUGAUUAGCUAGUUGGCGGGUAAUGGCCCACCAAGGCGACGAUCAGUA
rnacentral:rRNA from 1 species